rnacentral:lncRNA from 1 species
GGAGCCACAAGGAGCUUAAUCUAUAUUUGUUAAAAUGAAGACCUGUAGCAUGUUCUUCUAACGCACCAGUAGCAGGGGAAAGGGCAAAUGUCCAGGAGCUGCUGUGCACUCGUCCUUGACAGGAAGGGCAAGCUGAGCAAACAGGGCAGAGGACGAGCAUGUGAGGUGGCCGCAGGGGAGCCAGCAGCAGGGACAGGGCUGCUCCGACUGCUUGAGAAUCUCUUCAGCAACCGGGAAGGGGCUGAAAGCACAAAGACAAGAUUGUGUUGUGAAGGUGUUUCCUCACAGAGUCUGGGUUAUUUCUGUUGCAGUAUUGCUUCCUUCACACCCCUUGUAUUACUAUGCUAUAGGAUUAACAUCAGGCAGUUAGGAGAAACUUCAGACUUCCCAGAGCAUGGCCCAAGGAGUAGCCAAUGCUCUGUUGUCCAUAGCUGCAUUCAGUUUAGAGUUUACUUGCUGUGAAUGUACGUUUUGAAAAAGCUUUUUUGCUUUGUUGUAAUUUAAGAACAGUCCUUCCAAUGUCUCUAUUGUCAAGUAUGUGCUGAGAUGUAUGGGUACUUCUGCCGGUAUAGUCUUUCCAUCGCAACUUGAAGCUAUGGAAUGUGCAAGAGUGGUCCUUAAUUUUAUUCUUAUUCAGAAGUGGAAAAGAAGGCAGUGAUAACAGAGAAAAUUUUCAUUUUCCUUCUUAAACCCCACCAGUUUGAAUAAUCUUUUGCUGAGUUUCCUGAUGUGGCUAUUUGCAUUCUUUUGUGAAUUCAGACUGACUGUUAGCAGCCUCCAAAUAAAACAUGGUUAUAUGAAGAUUUACCUUGG